rnacentral:rRNA from 1 species
AUGUUCAGAUUAUUACAGACUGUCCUGUUUAAGACAGAUUCUGUUUUUGAUGCAUUGUUUGCUUGUUUUGAUGAAACUAUCGACUUCUAUCAGUGGACUAAGCCAUGGAAAAGUUAUAUUACAGUAGAUAUAGUGCAAAAAAAUGAAUUGGUUUGCAACAGUGUUAGAGUAGUGAUUUGCUUUAUUAUACUAAUGGAUCUAACCGAGUUUUCUGUUGAGUUUUGUGUGGAUGAAGUGUUCGAAGAUCGAGGAGGUCUCGAUGUGAGGAGAAGGAGUAGAGGCAAGAGCUCAAGCUUGGGGAUGCCCAAGGCACCCCAAGUAAAUAUUCAAGGAGUCUCAAGCGUCUAA